rnacentral:rRNA from 1 species
GACGAACGCUGGCGGCGUGCUUAACACAUGCAAGUCGAACGGAAAGGCCCUGCUUGUGUGGGGUGCUCGAGUGGCGAACGGGUGAGUAACACGUGAGUAACCUGCCCUUGACUUUGGGAUAACUUCAGGAAACUGGGGCUAAUACCGGAUAGGAGCUCCUGCUGCAUGGUGGGGGUUGGAAAGUUUCGGCGGUUGGGGAUGGACUCGCGGCUUAUCAGCUUGUUGGUGGGGUAGUGGCUUACCAAGGCUUUGACGGGUAGCCGGCCUGGGAGGGUGACCGGCCACAUUGGGCCUGAGAUACGGCCCGGACUCCUACGGGAGGCAGGGGUGGAGAAUAUUGCACAAUGGGCUGAGGCAUGAUGCAGCAACGCCGCGUGCGGGAUGACGGCCUUCGGGUUGUAACCCGCAUUCGCCUGUGACGAAGCGUGAGUGACGGUAAUGGGUAAAGAAGCACCGGCUAACUACGUG